CGGGCGAGACUAGCAAGGAUCCAAUCUGGAAAAGGGAUUCUCCGCCCGUUUAGGAUGGAUGCCAGCAGAGAACAAAUUUUAUUGCCAUCACUUAGUAAAGCUUUCCCCUCGUUCAAAUGAACAAAAUCCAAUCUGAAGUGAACUUUACGAACUAAACUAGCACCACCUAUUUGCUUGUUGAUCAAGUUAAUAGCAGCUAGAGACUUCUUAACUUACAUUCUAACCAUAGUUUAAAUCCAAGCAUGAUCCAAUAAUAUCUAAAC
rnacentral:misc_RNA from 1 species